GAUUGGCUGAUUGAUUUCUUUUCUGCUCCAACAAAAAGAGAGCAAUUCAAAUAAGGAAGAAUUUAAAUAAAUAUUAUAACAAUUCAGCUAAACACAAUUUAAAAGGAAACUAGUAGAAAAAUCCAUUCAAAAAAAAAAUUGGAAAAUGAGAAACAGCCAAUGCAAUUAUAGGAUACAGAGUUGGCAACAGUUAGAACUUUCCCCUAUAAGAUGAUCACUGAUAGCAUGAGUUAACAUAUAUUAUUGUAUUAAAG
rnacentral:misc_RNA from 1 species